UACGUAGGGUGCAAGCGUUAAUCGGAAUUACUGGGCGUAAAGCGUGCGCAGGCGGCUUUGCAAGACAGAUGUGAAAUCCCCGGGCUUAACCUGGGAACUGCAUUUGUGACUGCAUGGCUGGAGUGCGGCAGAGGGGGAUGGAAUUCCGCGUGUAGCAGUGAAAUGCGUAGAUAUGCGGAGGAACACCGAUGGCGAAGGCAGCCCCCUGGGCUGACACUGACGCUCAGGCACGAAAGCGUGGGGAGCGAUCCGG
rnacentral:rRNA from 1 species